UUGCUUCUAAAGCACAUAUACUAAAAUUGGAAUGAUACAUGGCCAAUUGGAAUGAUUAGCAUGGCCCCUGCACAAGGAUGACAAGCAAAUUUAUGAAGAGUUCUAUAUUAUU